AUGGUGCGCAUCGACGCUGGCACCGCCGAGGUGGUCGCCAUGGGCUGGAUUGACCGCGGGGCCUGCUUCUUCCCUGUGCCAGAAAGCGGGAGGAAGAGGAAGAGGGGCGAGCAUGAGCUGGGGGACGGGGCCUCGUCCGAGGUGGAUGAGAGGUCCGACGAGAGCAGCGACGUGGUGGAGUCCUCAAUCCAGCCUAAUCUCCUGCCACUCUCAAGCACUCCCCGUGCAGCAGGCCUGAUGUGUAGGCUGCCAUGGCAAGGCUACAUCCAUGCAUUCGGUGAUUGUCUGAUCUACCAUGUGAUUUGCGGUUCAUGCGAAGUCAUGAAAUCUGGUCCGGAUAGUGACAUGAUUUACUCUGUUUGA
rnacentral:rRNA from 1 species